AGUAGGUGUCGCUGUGAGCGUCCAGGUCGCGUUGUGUUACAGGAAUAGAAGAAGGCGUGCGGCAGUGUUGCUGAUUGAUGAUCUGAUCUCGGACUCUACUAAUCAUCUUUCCAUUCCAAUAUUUCUGACAGGGUUUUACCUCCACACUUCCAUCUGAUCCGCUGGAGCUGAAUUUGAGGAGCUUCACCAUGUUCAGGGAAGUUACAGCUCUGCCUCUGCCAUGUUAAUCUGUAUUCUAUGUGACUCUCGGAGGACUCGGAGGACAUGGAGGACACGCCCCCGUCUCCGUAGUGUUGAUACGUCAUGUUCACGUAGCAGCAGUGGUGCUGAGAGAACGCGCUCGAAUGAUUGAGUGGUGUCCAGUCUUCCCUUUCUAUCUUCUUUUUUACUUAUCUGAUAUCUGACCUCUACAAGAACAUCCAGAGAUCCUAGGAUGAAGUCAGAAAAGUGUGAGAAUCAGGAAUCCAUACAGAGCUCCAGUACAUUUCACACCAAGACUUCUCAUUUGGAAAAGAAACCCCCACCCCUGCUCACACUGUGGGAAGAGUUUUAGCCAAAAGAGCACUCUCAAACAACACCAGCGCAUU